GCCUCUAUGGUUCAGUGUUAGAUCACCUCCGCUUCAUGAAGCGUGAAAUGCGAAUGUUUCGGAGGAGACGUAGGUUCGAGUCCUACUGGGUGCG